rnacentral:rRNA from 1 species
UACAGAGGUCCCAAGCGUUGUUCGGAUUCACUGGGCGUAAAGGGUGCGUAGGCGGUUUGGUAAGUCUUAUGUGAAAUCUACAGGCUCAACUUGUAGUCUGCAUGAGAAACUGCCGGGCUUGAGUAUGGGAGAGGUGAGUGGAAUUCCUGGUGUAGCGGUGAAAUGCGUAGAUAUCAGGAGGAACACCUGUGGCGAAAGCGGCUCACUGGACCACAACUGACGCUGAGGCGCGAAAGCUAGGGGAGCAAACAGG